AUUGUAGUUUUUUGAUAAUCAUUCCCUCUUCUUUUAAUAUAAUUAAAAAUCUCUUGGAAUAGAGUGUCAUAGAAGGUGAGAACCCUGUGAAUAGUUAUAUUAAGGGGAGGAUAUUGAGUUUGAUUAUCAUAGAGUCGGGUUGUUUGGGAAUGCAGCCUAAAAAGGGUGGUAAAUCUCAUCUAAAAGCUAAAUAUUUGGUAAGAGACCGAUAGAAAACAAGUACCGUGAGGGAAAGAUGAAAAGAACUUUGAAAAGAGAGUUAAAAGUACUUGAAAUUGUUAACUGGGAACCGCUUAAAAUUCUAAUCUCUUAAUUUUAUUAAAUCAUCUUCUUUAAGGGUGGAACACAUUAAAUAGAUGUAACUCAGUUGCUCUAUGAGUGGGUGAAGUCAAAGAGGAAGUGCACUUUAGUAGAAUUAUAAAUCAACAUGAAUUUUAAGUAAACUAGAAAAAUAGAAGAAAAGGUAGUAGUCUAUCUUCGGAUAUUACUAUGUUA
rnacentral:rRNA from 1 species